UCCAUGCAGUAUUUAAAGGAAUGAUUCUCCCUUGCAAAUGUGUUUGAGGAGAAAUUCUAAGUGGUAUGGGUUUACCAUAUACCGUGUUUGUUACCCUGAAUAUACUUCUCCAGCAACACAAAAACAGAUACGUAUAAAAUUAUUAUUUGCAGCAUUAUUUUAUAUAUACAAAUUAGUGGGAAUGUCAAACACCUAACAUUAAUUGAAUUAGCUAUGGGUUAUACCCCAAACAGAAUAAUAUGCAGCCAUAAAAAAGAAAGAAAAAGACCUAUCUGAAGGGAUAUGAAUUACUUUCCAAGAUAUACUGAAACAGAUUGGAGCAAAAUUAUCAUUGAAAUCUGAACAACCUGGUUUUCCCAUCGAGCAGAGAAUGGAGACUGUGUAAGCAUGCACACACUUACAGGUGGAUUUUAUUUUCUACGUGAUCACCAUGGGAAAAGAUAAGAGUCAUGUGCUCUCAUAGGCAGUAUGGAGGAAUUCAUGAGGAACAAACUCAAGUGCAAAGAAGUGACUUCUCUAGUAAAGUUGGGAUUAGAUCUCUUGCCUCCUGAACUCCUAAUUAAAUGUUGUUUGUUUUUCCAAAUAAAUUUUACAGAUAUCAUUAUCUUCUAACACUUUUUUUUGGUGAAUGUUUAUACUUGUGAAAAUUUAUGAGCAGAUCAAGUUAGCAUAUUGAAUAACUGCAUCUAUCCUUCUACC